rnacentral:tRNA from 1 species
CAGAGGGUAGUUUUAAGUAUAAAAAUAUUAAUUUUGGAGAUUAAAGAUAUCAAUUUUCCUCUGA